GGGCUCGUGAUCUAGCGGUAUGAUGCCCGCUUGACGUGCGGGAAAUCGGGCGUUCAAAUCGCCCCGAGCCCACCA
rnacentral:tRNA from 1 species